UGGGGAAUAUUGGACAAUGGGCGAAAGCCUGAUCCAGCCAUGCCGCGUGUGUGAAGAAGGUCUUCGGAUUGUAAAGCACUUUAAGUUGGGAGCAAGGGCAGUAAGCUAAUACCUUGCUGUUUUGACGUUACCGACAGAAUAAGCACCGGCUAACUCUGUGCCAGCAGCCGCGGUAAUACAGAGGGUGCAAACGUUAAUCGGAAUUACUGGACGUAAAGCGCGCGUAGGUGGUUCGUUAAGUUGGAUGUGAAAUCCCCGGGCUCAACCUGGGAACUGCAUCCAAAACUGGCGAGCUAGAGUAUGGUAGAGGGUGGUGGAAUUUACUGUGUAGCGGUGAAAUGCGUAGAUAUAGGAAGGAACGCCAAUGGCGAAGGCGACCACCUGGACUGAUACUGACACUGAGGUGCGAAAGCGUGGGGAGCAAGCAGG
rnacentral:rRNA from 1 species